ensembl:lincRNA
CAACAAAAUGCCUCAGUGAAAUAAGUUGAGCUCCUGUAAAGAAAAGCAGCUUUUAGUGCCAAGAAGUUAGCACCGGCAACCACCUCAGCCUCCGUGGGGGCUCCGACACGUUGCAUAAUAAGAUAAAGGGAACUUGAAAACCCGCCUGCAUUAGGAAGAUAUGUUUCUGAGAGUCAGAAGCUGAGUGAUGGACCCUUGAACUUCAUCCCAGUCAGAGGCAGACAUGAGUACACCGUGUUCUCCCAUCAUCCUGAACACUUUCAGGAAAACAAAACAAUCCUGUCAACAAAAGACACCAGAGCACCAACGUGAUCAACAGAGAAUGUAGAUUGGAGACCUUCAUGUCUGAAAAUCUGGGCAGAGUCGAGGCAGAAUUCCUGAGGCAGCUUCCUGGAUGCCUACGAGUAACUUCUAAAUUAAUCUUGCAGUGUGUUGGCAGGAAAGAAGCACCUGGUGGCACCGAGUCCAGUAGUAUCUGGUGCCUGCACCCGCCUCACUCUGCCUCUCAAAGCAGGAACUGAAGAGCAGAGGUAUCUGUUCCAUUCACUUCGCUUUUACACUUGGAUUCUGAUGGGAACUUAAACCACCAGGGUCAAGAGUGCAUUAGGACAUAGUGGCAAGACAUUUCACUGGGAGUCAUCCAUUUUCAAAAGAAAACUGGACAAAUUUCCAUCAGGCAGUAGGUGAAAGUGAUUCAGGAAGAUCCAUUUUGUUAUGGAAGCCCCAAACCUGGAAACCUUAGUUCCAGUUGCAGCCAAUACCUGCACUUUAUUUGAGGGCACCUCCAUUAACGAGCCACAUUCAUUUGCAUGUGGUCUAAUGUGAAGGCAAACCACUACAAUACUAUUCCAAUGCACAGAAGUACCCGUAAAGGUACAGAUAGCACGUGUAACGUUGCCAGAAAGAUUGGCAGACUGCUGGCACUUACAAAGGACUUUGCAAGACAAGAAUGAACUUGAAAGGAGAGAAGUCUGAGUGACACUUAGGUUGAACUGUCUUGGAAUCCUGUGAUACUAUCUGCAGGUUGGAAAAAAAAGGACAAAGGGAAUCAAUAGCAGUGCAAGGUGGGGAGGGACAGCACAGUGAGAACUGUCCUGUGUACCAUAUCUGUAUGUACGUAUUCUAGUUCAUUAGCCGCCACCAAGAACUGACAUCCAAAAGCACACUGUCCUGGAAUGUAGUAGAUGGAGAGGAGAGAAGCCGCCACACAUGCCAUCAUCUACCCAGUGGAACAUGCACUACCCAGUGGAACAUCAUCUACCCAGUGGAACAUGCACUACCCAGUGGAACAUGCACUACCCAGUGGAACAUCAUCUACCCAGUGGAACAUGCACUGAGCAUUUAUUGAUGAAGGAAGCAACCACAUGAAGGAGAGAAAUGGGAUCUGAGAGAAUUCUAAGGGAAGAACAAAGCAGUACAAAUAUUAUUAUAGACAGCUAAAUUAGACUACAGAGCAAGACUGUAAAAGAAAGAGAAAGAAAGGGAGGAAGGAAAGAAAGAUGAGGGCGAGAAAAGACAGUUGCAUCAAAAUGAAUCUUUGCUCUUUAGACUGAACUUGCACCUUUCUGCCAUUCAAGUGAAUUUGCCAACUAGUUAGGCUUACUGUGAAUCAAAAGACAUUGGAAGAAUGAUGGACAUUUUUAAGUGACACUGUCAUGUCAGGAGAUGAUGAUGGUGCACAUCAUAAAGACCAAGACAGGCCGCUGUUCCUUGAUUUUCAGAAACUGCAUUGUUAAUAUUUUAGUAAACAAAGAUAUUGCACAAUUUUUACCUUGAGAACAUGACUGUGCUUUUGUGUUUGUGUGAAGAAUAAGAGUUGCAUUUAAAUAUAACAUAAUAAAUUUGUACAUUAUCAGACAUUUUCUUUGAGCUACCACUAGAUAUAGAAAGUAUUUAGGAUGAUUCAGAAGUAUGUGAGACUUAGGACUGUUAACCCUGUAAAAGCAAAAUUAAAAGUCAUUAAAUGCCAUUUCCAAAUUAAUGUGCCUGGACAGAUUGUUUAUUCAGGCUCACAAUAUUGAGUUUAAUACUCCUGAAUAUUCUCAUCUAGUGGCUUUGGACAUGGAGUGGAAGACGAUCUUUGGUACCUACCACUAUACAUUUUUGCUACUAAAUUUACUUAAGUAAACAUUCAUAAAAAUGUUAAACAUUUUUCAAAAAUUAGGUAGAAAUAUCAUGGGCUGUCUGACAGUGCCAGGCCCUGGAAGGAGCCAGUGCAGAAGAUAAGAACACAGUACAACUGUGGGUGGAAGCGCAUCUGUUGAAGGCCAGGCCUCAAGGCAAAGAUGAAGUAACCACGUCUACCUACUUCCCCAGGGAUAAACCAUAAUGACUGAUAUUCUCAACAGGCAUCAACUGCCUGGUGGGCAGCAGGGACCAAGUCCUUGACCCAUCCCUUGAAGGAAAAAUCCUUGUUUCUUGACCCAUCCUUCCAGGACAGGUCCUUUUUCUUUCCAUGUACACCUAACAGGUGACUCUCUUCCACAUUGGAUCAAUACCUAAGCAGCUAUACUUAUAAUCUUAUUGGUUGGUCAUAGUUUUGCCACACCUUAUACCCACCUCAUGAUUUUGCUCUAUAAAGUUUCCUUUGAGCAGUGGGAUACUGGGCAACCCACUUUCCAGGCCCUCUUCUGUGUCUCUCAGAAGCUAUCUUUCCCUAAAUAAAUAUUUCCUACCCUUAACCUCUGUUGUUCUUUCGAAUUCAUUCUUUGAUUUUGGAGAACAAUAGCUCAGAUUACUCAGAUUUAGCAGGAGUUAUAUUUCCCUUAUGUUAUUUGGAGGGUUAUAUGUCAUCCCUAUAUCAAUAAUGAUAAAAAUUGUGUGACAAGGCAGUUACAUGUAGGUUUUCAUUUUGUAUUUUGCCAACAAUUUUAUACUAAAACCAGAAGUAUCUAAUAAAUAGUCCCUGCCCCUAUCCCACAGCCCAGGCAUUUUAUCAAUCCUUUAUCAACACUGCUCUUUCAAAAGACAUGGAAGAGUAUGUAUCAGAUAAAUAGAGAGAUGAGAGAUAGAUAGAUAGAUAGAUAGAUAGAUAGAUAGAUAGAUAGACAGACAGGUAGAUAGAUGGAAAGAUAUUGGAAAUAUCUUAAGAUUAGGGGUCUCUUUGGGGUUACAACCAAUUCUCUGCCCUCAACUUUAAAAGGUA